UGGCGUUUACUCUAUGUGUAUAUAAGAAUUAUCAGGUGCCAUCAUUCUCGAUCUCAAAGUAACGAGUAGGAGAGUGCUCACAAAAAUUGACAUCUAUUGUGAGAAUGGAGUCGCCACAAAAGUUGCGCCCGCUCAUCAUCAUGGCGAUGCUACUGCUGCUCGUGAUGGCUGCGGAAGGCCAUAAACAUUGUCCGGAGGACUUGUGUGAAGGACCAAGUGGCAAGUUCAAAGGUGCAUGUUCGCAGGACGACGAAUGCCAAGAAACAUGUGGGGAAGAGGGUUUUCAUACUGGCUUUUGUAAAGUUGGGCCUUUUAAUGGUGCAUGUAAAUGUUGUAAGCCAUGCGUUUUUUAAAUUAUUUCCCAAUGCUUCAUGAAAUAAUUGCUUCACGUAAAGAAUUUACCUAUUGAAUUUAAUAAAUUGGAGUCUUCUUUCUUCA